CUGCUGCCUCCCGUAGGAGUCUGGGCCGUGUCUCAGUCCCAAUGUGGCCGUCCACUCUCUCAAGCCGGCUACUGAUCGUCGCCUUGGUGAGCCGUUACCUCACCAACCAGCUAAUCAGACGCGGGUCCAUCCCAUAGCGAUAAAUCUUUGAAGAAAAGAACAUGCGCUCUCUCCUUGUUAUGCGGUAUUAGCAGCCGUUUCCAGCUGUUGUCCCCCUCUAUGGGGCAGGUUGCCCACGCGUUACU
rnacentral:rRNA from 1 species